rnacentral:rRNA from 1 species
UACAGAGGGUGCGAGCGUUGUCCGGAAUCACUGGGCGUAAAGGGCGCGUAGGUGGUGGCUUAAGCGUGCGGUGAAAGCUCGGGGCUCAACUCCGAGUCGGCCGUGCGAACUGGGCUCACUGGAGCAUAGUAGAGGCAGGUGGAAUUCCGGGUGUAGCGGUGGAAUGCGUAGAGAUCCGGAAGAACACCGGUGGCGAAGGCAGCCCCCUGGGCCAAUACUGACGCUCAUGCACGAAAGCGUGGGGAGCAAACAGG